AUGGCGUACAGGUGAGUAAUGUACAAGAAUCUACCUUAAAGUUUGAAAUAAUCAUAUUUUUUUAAGAAUGCUACGCAGUGAUAACUUCAAUAAAAGUAAAAUACUGCUUUAAGAUGAGCUUGUAUAGGAUUAAGUUGUUGGUAAGGUAAUGGCUUACCAAGCUGAUGAUCCUUAGCUGGUCCGAGAGGACGAUCAGCCACACUGGGACUGAGAUAAGGCCCAGGCUUUUAGCCAGCAGUGAGGAAUUUUGGACAAUGCGCGAAAGCGUGAUCCAGUAAUACUGCGUGAAUGAGGAAAGCAAAAAAGGUUUAUAAGCGUUUUAAGUUUAUAGAUCGGUUGUAAAAUUCUUUCGCUAAGUAGGAUUGUGACUUUAUUUGGAGAAGAAGCCCCGGCUAAUUUCGUGCCAGCGGCCGCGGUAAUACGAAAGGGGCGAGCGUUAUCCGGAAUGAUUGGGCGUAAAGAGUUCGUAGGCGGUAUUUGUUGUUACAUGUUAAAUCCUAGGUUUAUACUUAGGUCUGCGUGUAAUACUCUUUUACUUGAGUAUA
rnacentral:rRNA from 1 species